AAAAAAAAAAAAAAAAAAAAAAAAAAAAGAUUUCCAAGUACUAGAUGUUACCAUUGAACAAAAGGGUCUCAUGUGAAUGAAGGAGGUUUCUGUUACCAUAUGCCCAUAAAGGGGCCUGAAACCAAAUAUGGUUUGAAUAGAAAAAACCUUGGGAAACAUAAGUAGCACUUUGGGGCUAAGCUGCAAAGGCACUCGUAUUAUACAAA